rnacentral:misc_RNA from 1 species
AACUUUCAACAAUGGAACACUUGGUUCUGGCAUCGAUGAAGAACGCAGCGAAAUGCGAUAAGUAAUGUGAAUUGCAGAAUUCAGUGAAUCAUCGAAUCUUUGAACGCACAUUGCGCCCGCCAGUAUUCUGGCGGGCAUGCCUGUUCGAGCGUCAUUUCAACCAUCAAGCCCCCGGCUUGUGUUGGGGACCUGCGGCUGCCGCAGGCCCUGAAAACCAGUGGCGGGCUCGCUGUCACCCCGAGCGUAGUAGUUACAUCUCGCUCUGGGAGUGCUGCGGGUUCCGGCCGUUAAAAGCCUUAUUUACCCAAGGUUGACCUCGGAUCAGGUAGGAAGACCCGCUGAACUUAAGCAUAUCAAUAAGCGGAGGCU